GCGCGAUUAGCUCAGCGGGAGAGCGCUACGUUGACACCGUAGAGGUCGCUGGUUCAAACCCAGCAUCGCGCACCA
rnacentral:tRNA from 1 species